rnacentral:rRNA from 1 species
GACGAACGCUGGCGGCGUGCUUAACACAUGCAAGUCGAACGGAAAGGCCCUGCUUGCAGGGUACUCGAGUGGCGAACGGGCGAGUAACUCGUGGGUGGUCUGCCCUGCACUUCGGGAUAAGCCUGGGAAACUGGGUCUAAUACCGGCUAGGAGACAUUUUUAGCGGGAUGGUUGGAAAGUUUUUUCGGUGUAUGAUGAGCUCUCGGGCUAUCAGCUUGUUGGGGGGGUAAUGGCCUACCAAGGCGGCGGCGGGUAGCCGGCCUGCGAGGGUGGACGGCCACAUUGGGACUGAGAGAAGGCCCAGACUCCUACGGGAGGCAGCAGUGGGGAAUAUUGAACAAGGGGCGCAAGCCUGAUGCAGCGACGCCGCGUGGGGGAUGACGGCCUUCGGGUUGUAAACUCAUUUCGCUAGGGACGAAGCUUUUUGUGACGGUACCUAGACAAGAAGCACCGGCUAACUACGUG